UAUUGGUCAAUGGCCGGAAGGCUGAACCAGACAAGUCGCGUGAGGGAAUAAGGCGCUAUGGGUCGUAAACCUCUUUUGUCAGGGAGCAAAGGCGUCCACGGGUGGAGGAAAGGAGAGUACCGGAAGGAAAAGCAUCGGCUAACUCCGUGCCAGCAGCCGCGGUAAUACGGAGGAUGCGAGCGUUAUCCGGAUUUAUUGGGUUUAAAGGGUGCGUAGGCGGAAUGCCAAGUCAGCGGUAAAAUCGCGGGGCUCAACCUCGCUCCGCCGUUGAAACUGGCGUUCUUGAGUGGGCGAGGAGUAUGCGGAAUGCGUGGUGUAGCGGUGAAAUGCAUAGAUAUCACGCAGAACUCCGAUUGCGAAGGCAGCAUACCGGCGCCCAACUGACGCUGAAGCACGAAAGCGUGGGUAUCG
rnacentral:rRNA from 1 species